GGAGGAAGGUGGGGAUGACGUCAAGUCCUCAUGGCCCUUACGGGCUGGGCUACACACGUGCUACAAUGGCGGUGACAGUGGGCAGCGACCUCGCGAGGGGAAGCUAAUCUCUAAAAGCCGUCUCAGUUCGGAUUGUUCUCUGCAACUCGAGAGCAUGAAGUUGGAAUCGCUAGUAAUCGCGUAACAGCAUGACGCGGUGAAUACGUUCCCGGGCCUUGUACACACCGCCCGU
rnacentral:rRNA from 1 species